rnacentral:rRNA from 1 species
GGAAUUGUUCGCAAUGGGCGCAAGCCUGACGCAGCGACACCGCGUGAGGGACGAAGGCCUUCGGGUUGUAAACCUCUUUCGGCAGGGACGAAGCGAACGUGUCGGUACCUGCAGAAGAAGCUCCGGCUAACUACGUGCCAGCAGCCGCGGUAAGACGUAGGGAGCGAGCGUUGUCCGGAUUCAUUGGGCGUAAAGAGCGCGCAGGCGGUUUGGUAAGUCGGGUGUGAAAGCCCGGGGCUCAACCCCGGACCUGCAUCCGAAACUGCCCGACUAGAGGUAGGUAGUGGAGAUCGGAAUUCCUGGUGUAGCGGUGAAAUGCGCAGAUAUCAGGAGGAACACCGGUGGCGAAGGCGGAUCUCUGGGCCUUACCUGACGCUCAGGCGCGAAAGCUAGGGGAGCGA